rnacentral:rRNA from 1 species
CUUUGGGAUAACCCUCGGAAACGGGGGCUAAUACCGGAUAGGACCACUGGAUGCAUGUCUGGUGGUGGAAAGUUUUUCGGCCUGGGAUGGGCUCGCGGCCUAUCAGCUUGUUGGUGGGGUGAUGGCCUACCAAGGCGACGACGGGUAGCCGGCCUGAGAGGGCGACCGGCCACACUGGGACUGAGACACGGCCCAGACUCCUACGGGAGGCAGCAGUGGGGAAUAUUGCACAAUGGGCGGAAGCCUGAUGCAGCGACGCCGCGUGAGGGAUGACGGCCUUCGGGUUGUAAACCUCUUUCAGCAGGGACGAAGCGCAAGUGACGGUACCUGCAGAAGAAGCGCCGGCCAACUACGUGCCAGCAGCCGCGGUAAGACGUAGGGCGCGAGCGUUGUCCGGAUUUAUUGGGCGUAAAGAGCUCGUAGGCGGCUUGUCGCGUCGACUGUGAAAACCCGCGGCUCAACCGCGGGCCUGCAGUCGAUACGGGCAGGCUAGAGCUCGGUAGGGGAGACUGGAAUUCCUGGUGUAGCGGUGAAAUGCGCAGAUAUCAGGAGGAACACCGGUGGCGAAGGCGGGUCUCUGGGCCGAUACUGACGCUGAGGAGCGAAAGCGUGGGGAGCGAACAGGAUUAGAUACCCUGGUAGUCCACGCUGUAAACGUUGGGCGC